rnacentral:rRNA from 1 species
UCCUGGCUCAGAUUGAACGCUGGCGCAUGCUUUACACAUGCAAGUCGAACGGUAGAGGGGGCAACCUCUCGAGAGUGGCGAACGGGUGAGUAAUAUAUCGGAACGUGCCCAGUCGUGGGGAUAACGUAGCGAAAGUUACGCUAAUACCGCAUACGAUCUACGGAUGAAAGCGGGGGACUCGCAAGAGCCUCGCGCGAUUGGAGCGGCCGAUAUCAGAUUAGGUAGUUGGUGGGGUAAAGGCUCACCAAGCCAACGAUCUGUAGCUGGUCUGAGAGGACGACCAGCCACACUGGAACUGAGACACGGUCCAGACUCCUACGGGAGGCAGCAGUGGGGAAUUUUGGACAAUGGACGCAAGUCUGAUCCAGCCAUUCCGCGUGCAGGAUGAAGGCCCUCGGGUUGUAAACUGCUUUUGUACGGAACGAAAAGGUUUCUAUUAAUACUAGGAGCUCAUGACGGUACCGUAAGAAUAAGCACCGGCUAACUACGUG